UCCUUUCUUCCUGGUGACCACCUUCAGGGGUAUGGGCUAUCUUCAGCGCUCCAGUUAGCAGAUGAAGAAACCGAGGUUCUGAGAGGUUCUCAGUCACACUGCUAGAAAGAGGCUGCCCUUGAAUGGAAGCUCAGCUCUACCUGUCUGACCGCUAAAUUGAGGCUGCGUGUUCCUCCGCGGGGCUCAAGACCAUCCUCCAGCGCAUCUACCUAGCCUCGGCCUUGCCUCACACCCAGCCUCCUCCAGCUUCUCCAUCUCCUGAGAGCUGCUCCAGCCUCCCCACUCGCUCCUCACUUGGCUUCCUCUUUGGAAACCAGCCACAGGUUUUUUUCUUCCAUGUGAGGGAGAAAAAAUGGUCUCGUUCCCCACCCCCAGGUCUUCCCAUCCUCUCAUCCAUCCAAACCUAAGCAUCUUUCUCUCUCUUCCCCCCUCCCUGCUCUCAUCUUGUUUUUUUUUUCUUUCUGUUUAUCCAUCACUAGAAUCCACCACCCCCUUCCCUCUUGCCUGUAGGUUCUGUGGCUAUAAUCAAAU
rnacentral:lncRNA from 1 species